rnacentral:rRNA from 1 species
CCUACGGGAGGCAGCAGUGGGGAAUAUUGGACAAUGGGGGCAACCCUGAUCCAGCAAUGCCGCGUGUGUGAAGAGGGUCUUCGGAUCGUAAAGCACUUUCGACGGGGACGAUGAUGACGGUACCCGUAGAAGAAGCCCCGGCUAACUUCGUGCCAGCAGCCGCGGUAAU